GUAUUUUGGGGUCGUACUUGGCUUUCGGUUGUUUGCUCGGCUUUAAUUUAGCCUUGUGGGUGGCUGUUAGGCAAUGCGGCUUCGGGAAUAUUUACCGUAAAAGGUGCAUGAGUGGUGUUUGGUUUGAUACGGGUGGUCGGCUCCCUGCUUGAGCAGGCACGGCCACGCGUGCAUUCCUUUUCAGCUGUGCGACAAGGCUUGUAUCGUCUUGAUCGUAUAAGUGGGUUUCCUGUGUUGCAUACCUGAUCAAUGGCAUCGUCUUGAUCAAAAGUGUCUAUUUUUCGUCUGGCAAUGCACCUGCAUUGUCGGAUGAACCACGUAGCAUCCUCUUUGAUCCAUACAGUUGACGUGCUAUCGUUGAUUGUUUGGCCCAUUGAGCGGUGACUCGGUCUCUCGGAUAUGGAAGCCAAAGUGGGCAUGGGAUCGCAAGAUCUCUUUAUUGUCCUCAUUGAGCGUCCUCACUUCUCUUACAUGACCGCCUUUCACGUAUGGCUACGUCCCAGCGUGUUUGGCUACGUCGAAGAGGAAUGUUGGGCGUUCUUGCUUUUCUUACACGACUGCCUUUCACGUAUGGCACGUCCCAGCGUGUUUGGCUAUGUCGAAGAGGAA
rnacentral:misc_RNA from 1 species